CGAGUAGCUGACGAUUUUCAGAGGGGCAAAGGGGAUGUGAGGCAUCACCGCAAACACCCAACAACCCGACGGUGUCCAGUACUGGGCUCGUCCCAUCGUCAUACCAUGAAUCCAACAUCUUCCAUUGUUAUGCCCUCUCGAAGUAUUCAUCGUGUACAUUGUUGGCGGCACGCACGCGGUAUCGACAUCACCUCGUGACCGCCUCAAAUCAGUCACCUUCUCACCAAAACUACAACUCCACUCUCUCCUCAUUUAUAUUUACCCGCUAAUGAUAAUAAUAAUAAUAAUAAGAGGGACAAUAUGAGAGCUACUAAAGAAGUGAAUUUUUUUUUUUUCGUUUAUGGUUUCUGGGGGAACGAGUUUAUUGGCUGUUUAGUGCACCAUGGAUUUUAAAACUUUUAAUCGCACUGUGAAAAAAUAGUAUGUGAUGAAUAUAUUUGGUGAUAUGUUUUUACUCGGUUAAAUACGACAAACGUGAAAUUAAUGAUAAUAUCAAGACUGAAUAACAAUUAUCACAAGAUUAUCAACCAUUAUCACCUGCCCACUGCUUACUCACUCAAUUGAAAGAAUAAUUCAUGCGGAAAAGCCGGUCAUUGGGAGUUUUCUCACAAUCGUGAUCGCAAAGUGUUUGAGCGAUUGUUAAAGAGUCGCCGG